GUAGUCCACGCCCUAAACUAUGGAUACUAGACGUGGGAGGUAUAGACCCCUUCCGUGUCGCAGCUAACGCAAUAAGUAUCCCGCCUGGGGACUACGGCCGCAAGGUUGAAACUCAAAUGAAUUGACGGGGAGCCGCACAAGCGGUGGAGCAUGUGGAUUAAUUCGAUACUAACCGAAGAACCUUACCCAGGUUUGACAUCGAUUGCAAUCCUAUGAAAGUAGGACCUCCCCCACAAGGGGACAUGAAGACACUUGUUGCAUGGCUGUCGUCAGCUCGUGCCGUGAGGUGUACGGUUAAGUCCGCCAACGAGCGCAACCCACGUUUUGUGUUACCAGCGAGUAAAGUCGGGGACUCACAAGAGACCGCCGGUGUAAGCCGGA
rnacentral:rRNA from 1 species